rnacentral:tRNA from 1 species
CCGAACUGCAAACUCGGGACGCACCCCCAAAAAGGGUGCCGGGGCUUCUCCCGUUU